ensembl:lncRNA
GGGGACACUCCAGGGCAGACCAGGACCCAGGCUUGGCUGCUGGCGGCCUUUAGACUCAGCUCCCCACUGCUCACUGCUCCUGUUACAGUAUUACUUUGCCUGGCUCCAGCUACAACAGAGGGAGUUUUGGGAGAGUCUGACGAGCAAGCCACGGGCUGAUGUAAGCACUUUAAGAACUCUGGGCUGUUGUUUUGGACCCUCCUUAGCAGGCCAGGAGAAGACUUCAAUCCGGGUGAACCAGGGUGGGAGCUGAGAACCCACACGUCUGCCACCCUCGCCUAGAAGGACAAAGUUCCAGGUGGGCCCACAUGUACUGACACACAAAGGGGCUCCCGGAGACACCACUAGUGAACUUGCUCCAAAGCCUCUCCAGUCUCCCGGGAAGAGAACCAUUAAUGGAGCUCCUAUAACCACAAAGCUGUAAAACACACUUGCCACCUGAAACUCUCAGGCCACUCAGACACAGGGCUGUUUGUUCCAGACCCUGGCUGCUCCAGAAAACUCUUUCCAGGGAACAAUGGUUCGCAUCUUUACCCAUCUUGCCCAAUGGGAACGUUUCCCAACACUGGAGAAACACUGCCCUUCAGAAAGACAGCAACCCACCGCCCACCAGGGCCCACAGCGCGGUAAUGUGGUUAAAGUUGAAGGAUCCUGAAGACACG